AUGAAGAGUUUGAUCCUGGCUCAGGAUGAACGCUAGCGGCAGGCUUAACACAUGCAAGUCGAGGGGUAACAGAGAAAGCUUGCUUUCUGCUGACGACCGGCGCACGGGUGCGUAACGCGUAUGCAACCUACCUUAUACUGGGGAAUAGCCCGAAGAAAUUCGGAUUAAUGCCCCAUAGUAUUGUCGAUUCGCAUGUUUUGACAAUUAAAGAUUACGGUAUAAGAUGGGCAUGCGUCCCAUUAGCUAGAUGGUAAGGUAACGGCUUACCAUGGCAACGAUGGGUAGGGGGCCUGAGAGGGUGAUCCCCCACACUGGUACUGAGACACGGACCAGACUCCUACGGGAGGCAGCAGUGAGGAAUAUUGGUCAAUGGACGAGAGUCUGAACCAGCCAUGCCGCGUGCAGGAAGAAUGCCUUUGGGUUGUAAACUGCUUUUAUAUAGGAAGAACUGUAGAGACUUGUCUUUAUUUGACGGUACUAUAUGAAUAAGGACCGGCUAACUACGUGCCAGCAGCCGCGGUAAUACGUAGGGUCCAAGCGUUAUCCGGAAUUAUUGGGUUUAAAGGGUCCGUAGGCGGGCCUAUAAGUCAGAGGUGAAAUCUUGCAGCUUAACUGUAAAAUUGCCUUUGAUACUGUAGGUCUUGAGUGUGAAUGAAGUGGGCGGAAUGAGAUGUGUAGCGGUGAAAUGCUUAGAUAUGUCUCAGAACACCGAUUGCGAAGGCAGCUCACUAAGCCACAACUGACGCUGAGGGACGAAAGCGUGGGUAGCGAACAGGAUUAGAUACCCUGGUAGUCCACGCCGUAAACUAUCAAUACUCGU
rnacentral:rRNA from 11 species